AAGUUUUUACUGUGUGACAAUACUUAU
rnacentral:piRNA from 1 species